rnacentral:rRNA from 1 species
UAACACGGGGGGUGCAAGCGUUAUUCGGAAUUAUUGGGCGUAAAGGGCGCGUAGGCGGUUUUGUCAGUCAGAUGUGAAAGCCCGGGGCUCAACCCCGGAAGAGCAUUUGAAACAGCAAUACUUGAGUACGGGAGAGGAAAGCGGAAUUCCUGGUGUAGAGGUGAAAUUCGUAGAUAUCAGGAGGAACACCGAUGGCGAAGGCAGCUUUCUGGACCGAUACUGACGCUGAGGCGCGAAGGCGUGGGUAGCGAACAGGAUUAGAUACCCUGGUAGUCCACGCAGUAAACGAUGUUAACUAGGUGGUGGGGAUAUUAAAAUUUUCACUGCCGGAGCUAACGCAUUAAGUUAACCGCCUGGGGAGUACGGUCGCAAGACUA